UCAGGUGGAAGUGUUUUCAGGGCCACCAUGAAGUCGUGACUGAUCUUGCCAGCGCUGCAUAUUCCCCACCUGGUUGCCAUCGCUCGUGUCUGCGUGGAUCCGAGAUCAACGGAUUACAGCUAACAAGUCAGACUGCAGGUUGCCAAGAUGAAAAAAAUGAUUUUCUGAUCCCAAUGAGAUUCCUCCGUGGCUCUUGUUGGACCCUCAGUUUGAGUCUUGACUGUAGACCACGCCCACCUGCAUACGCACUUCGUCCUCCACUUCGGCCAGCAGAAGAGAGUCAGCGUGGGACAUCACGGAACUCUCCUUCAGCCCUGCAGUGGGGAUAAUACAUUCUAAUCAUUGUUCAUAAUGGCAUCACCCACCGAGCCAUGUGCAGGCACAUGUGCGACUUAAUUGUUCCCUCUGGUAACAUUGAUUCAUUCGGUUGACUAUUCUAAAAAAUGUGAUUGUACAAAUAAAGGCCUCCACUCUCAAAAAAGAUUUUGCAUGGGGAUAAGCGGUACGGAAGAUGAAUGAAUGAAUGAUGUUGCUAAAAAGAAGAAAAACUAUAGAUGCUGCAUUUUCCUGAAAAGAACACAAACCUGAAAAGUGAUUUAAGCUGUUAUAUAUUAUUAGUUUAUUUUCAUUUUAAUGUAUACUUAAUUUUUUAUUUUGAGAAUACCUGUAUUUCAUGUAUUUGAGAAUUUAUUGCUAUAAGUUUGGAGAUUUUUUUUAAAUCUGUUAUAUAUAUAUAUAUAUAUAUAUAUAUAUAUAUAUAAAGUACUGCAUGAACAGUUGCCAAAGUUUGUCACGACACCUUUGAGCAAACACUGUCGCACCGCUUCCGCCUCAUAGCGCAGUCCCGUACUGUUGAGGAAGUUGAGGGGCAAGUAAGGUUCCGGGACAGGAUACUGGCUCUCUUUCCCGUUGACUAGCACAGAGGUGGGGCACCACAUGUGACCAGGGAUCUAUGAGACAAUGAGAUGUACUUGAGUUCUAUUUGUGUUGCGUGUAUCAAUUAGUGUGCUGCGAUGUGUAAUUAAUUCUAGUCAUUCCAGUUAGUAACAGUGUCAAAAAACAGUUCCUAAAUAUUCCAUUCAUAAAUGAUUAAUUUGAAGUGCACAAGUUUCAACAAGUGUGCUCCGCGCACCGGUAGCCCUACCCUGAUUUUCCCCUUGGUGCCCAUGAUGACUGCGUCAUUGUCGAGCUCCAGUCCCGAGGAGCUCGUGAUCACGGCCAUGCGGCCUUUGGAGAACUUGAGAGUGACUGCCACUGUCUCAUCCACUCCUGGAAACACGCACACAAACACACACACACAGACCCACACCUUCCAAUUUGGAGACACCUCAAUAGACCUCUCUUCAGCCAGCAUUAAAUGAUUAACUCUG